GAUGAACGCUGGCGGCGUGCCUAAUACAUGCAAGUCGAGCGAACGGACGAGAAGCUUGCUUCUCUGAUGUUAGCGGCGGACGGGUGAGUAACACGUGGAUAACCUACCUAUAAGACUGGGAUAACUUCGGGAAACCGGAGCUAAUACCGGAUAAUAUUUUGAACCGCAUGGUUCAAAAGUGAAAGACGGUCUUGCUGUCACUUAUAGAUGGAUCCGCGCUGCAUUAGCUAGUUGGUAAGGUAACGGCUUACCAAGGCAACGAUGCAUAGCCGACCUGAGAGGGUGAUCGGCCACACUGGAACUGAGACACGGUCCAGACUCCUACGGGAGGCAGCAGUAGGGAAUCUUCCGCAAUGGGCGAAAGCCUGACGGAGCAACGCCGCGUGAGUGAUGAAGGUCUUCGGAUCGUAAAACUCUGUUAUUAGGGAAGAACAUAUGUGUAAGUAACUGUGCACAUCUUGACGGUACCUAAUCAGAAAGCCACGGCUAACUACGUGCCAGCAGCCGCGGUAAUACGUAGGUGGCAAGCGUUAUCCGGAAUUAUUGGGCGUAAAGCGCGCGUAGGCGGUUUUUUAAGUCUGAUGUGAAAGCCCACGGCUCAACCGUGGAGGGUCAUUGGAAACUGGAAAACUUGAGUGCAGAAGAGGAAAGUGGAAUUCCAUGUGUAGCGGUGAAAUGCGCAGAGAUAUGGAGGAACACCAGUGGCGAAGGCGACUUUCUGGUCUGUAACUGACGCUGAUGUGCGAAAGCGUGGGGAUCAAACAGGAUUAGAUACCCUGGUAGUCCACGCCGUAAACGAUGAGUGCUAAGUGUUAGGGGGUUUCCGCCCCUUAGUGCUGCAGCUAACGCAUUAAGCACUCCGCCUGGGGAGUACGACCGCAAGGUUGAAACUCAAAGGAAUUGACGGGGACCCGCACAAGCGGUGGAGCAUGUGGUUUAAUUCGAAGCAACGCGAAGAACCUUACCGAAUCUUGACAUCCUUUGACAACUCUAGAGAUAGAGCCUUCCCCUUCGGGGGACAAAGUGACAGGUGGUGCAUGGUUGUCGUCAGCUCGUGUCGUGAGAUGUUGGGUUAAGUCCCGCAACGAGCGCAACCCUUAAGCUUAGUUGCCAUCAUUAAGUUGGGCACUCUAAGUUGACUGCCGGUGACAAACCGGAGGAAGGUGGGGAUGACGUCAAAUCGUCGUGCCCCUUAUGAUUUGGGCUACACACGUGCUACAAUGGACAAUACAAAGGGCAGCGAAACCGCGAGGUCAAGCAAAUCCCAUAAAGUUGUUCUCAGCUCGGAUUGUAGUCUGCAACUCGACUACUUGAAGCUGGAAUCGCUAGUAAUCGUAUAUCAGCAUGCUACGGUGAAUACGUUUCCGGG
rnacentral:rRNA from 1 species